UACAGAGGUCUCAAGCGUUGUUCGGAUUCAUUGGGCGUAAAGAGCGUGUAGGCGGCCCGAUUAGUCCGCUGUGAAAGUCCAGGGCUCAACCCUGGAAUGCCGGUGGAUACUGUCGGGCUAGAGUCCGGAAGGGGCGAGUGGAAUUCCUGGUGUAGCGGUGAAAUGCGCAGAUAUCAGGAGGAACACCAAUGGCGAAGGCAGCUCGCUGGGACGUGACUGACGCUGAGACGCGAAAGCGUGGGGAGCAAACAGG
rnacentral:rRNA from 1 species